GGCCUAUCAGCUGUUGUCGAGUAACGGGCUCACCAAGGCUAAACUGGGUAGCCGGCCUGAGACGGCCGACCGGCCACACUGGGACGUGAGAGUACCGGCCCAGACUCGUGUACGGGAGCCAGCAGUGGGGAAUACUCGCGCAAUGGGCGAAGCCUGACGCAGCCGACGCCGCUGGGGGAUGACGGCCUUCGGUUGCUAAACCUCGUUUCGCCAGGGACGAAGAGUGAUUGACGGUACCUGGAGAAGAAGCACCGGCCAACUACGUGCCAGCAGCCGCGGUAACACGUAGGGUGCGAGCGUUGUCCGGAAUUAUUGGGCGUAAAGAGCUCGUAGGCGGUGUGUCGCGUCGGCCGUGAAAACUUGGGGCUUAACUCUGAGCGUGCGGUCGAUACGGGCAUCACUUGAGUUCGGCAGGGGAGACAUGGAAUUCCUGGUCUAGCGGUGAAAUGCGCAGAUAUCAGGAGGAACACCGGUGGCGAAGGCAGGGUCUCUGGGCCGAUACUGACGCUGAGGAGCGAAAGCGUGGGGAGCGAACAGGAUUAGAUACCUGGUAGUCCACGCCAGUAAACGUUGGGCGCUAGGUGUGGGGACCAAUUCCACGGUUUCUGUGCCGCAGCUAACUGCUAUUAAGCGCCCCGCCUGGGGAGUACGG
rnacentral:rRNA from 1 species